AGUAGUUUGAUCCUGGCUCAGGACGAACGCUGGCGGCGUGCCUAACACAUGCAAGUCGAACGAAGCAUUUAGAGCUGAUCUCUUCGGAGUGACGCACUUUAUGACUUAGUGGCGGACGGGUGAGUAACACGUGAGCAACCUGCCUCUCAGAGUGGAAUAACAGUUGGAAACGGCUGCUAAUACCGCAUAACGUCAUAGUACCGCAUGAUACCUUGACCAAAGAUUUAUCGCUGAGAGAUGGGCUCGCGUCCGAUUAGGUAGAUGGUGGGGUAACGGCCUACCAUGCCGACGAUCGGUAGCCGGACUGAGAGGUUGAUCGGCCACAUUGGGACUGAGACACGGCCCAGACUCC
rnacentral:rRNA from 1 species